GUUACCAGGGCGCGGAGCAGCGAGCAGCGAGCAACGCUGCCGGCUUUACGGGCUUGGAGGAGACGCGGGCAGCGGGGUCCCCCCCGCCCCGCACACCCAGGCUGAGGGGCUGCUUCGUUAUUCCUUUAAUUGAUUAUUUAUUAUUAUCAUCACCACCAUCGUCGUUAUUUAGGCUUCCACUCGUCGGAGGUUCAGCGAAGAAAGAGCUCGGAGGGUCAGGAUUAAGCAGGAGCCCCCCAGCAAGGUGCGUAGCUCGCUCAAAAUCAAUAGUGGCUGAACUCCCUUGGUCUCUCCCAGGACAGCAGAAUUUGCUAGCUGGUCCCUCCAGAAUGCGCCAGAAGGACCUUCCUGACGUCGGCUGGCAAAACCUUGCUGGUCUGUAGAGCUGUGUUUGACGUGGCACAGUGGAACGCGAACCUGACCUCGCCAGCGCCGAUACCUCCCCGUCCUUUGGGAAAACAGAGUUGGGCAAUCUGGCCUGUUCUAGUGACUCCUGGCAAAUGCAGGCCAAGCUCUUCGGUCCAGCAGUCACAGCUGGGUAAGCUGCAUGUCGUUCCCAGUUCUUGGGUUAAAACGGGAAUAGGCUUCCAACCUUGCUGUAUAAAUGCUACAUUAAAAUUUGUUGGCUUGAA